rnacentral:rRNA from 1 species
CCUACGGGUGGCAGCAGUCGAGAAUUUUUCUCAAUGGGCGCAAGCCUGAAGGAGCGACGCCGCGUGUGGGAUGAAGGGUUUCGAUCCGUAAACCACUGUCAUUUGUGAACAAUGGUUACCCAUGAAUAGUGGGUGACUUGAUAGUAAUGAAAGAGGAAGGGACGGCUAACUCUGUGCCAGCAGCCGCGGUAAUACAGAGGUCCCGAGCGUUGUUCGGAUUCACUGGGCGUAAAGGGUGCGUAGGUGGCAUGUUAAGUUUGAUGUGAAAGCUCAGGGCUCAACCCUGAAAUGGCAUUGAAUACUAGCGUGCUGGAGGUUUGGAGGGGGGACUGGAAUUCUCGGUGUAGCAGUGAAAUGCGUAGAUAUCGAGAGGAACACCAGUGGCGAAGGCGAGUCCCUGGACAACACCUGACACUGAGGCACGAAAGCUAGGGGAGCAA